rnacentral:lncRNA from 1 species
ACUCCAUUCAUUCGUUUAUUCAGUCUUGUCUGUGCCGGUUGGCUCUUUUGGUAUCUCCGCUCCGUCUUCAGUCUGGCCUGCCACUGCCGCUGAUGCCUCUUCUCCCCACUCUGUACUCUACUCUUCUAUACUCGCUCUCACCCACAGCGGACCGCAGACAGCGGACAGCAGACACACAGACAGCCGCCAGUCAGUGCAAAUGUUAAACAAAGACAACACAAAACGAAAGAAAAAGAAAAAAGCAGUAACAGUGCAAAGAAAAGUGCGAAAAGUGAACAUUAAGUCGAGUCAAAAAUGAAACAAAAAUACACAGCCCAGCCAGCCAGCCAGCCAGCCAGCCAGACAAUGCGUCAUUCGCUCAUUCACUCAAUCUUGAAAUAAAAGCACUGCUAUCGCAGCAGCACACACAAACUCUCACACUCGCAUGCAGUUGAACAGUUACAGUUACAAAGUGCGAAUCGGCUGGCCAGACAUCUCACCUCAUACACACACGCAGAGAUAGCAGCGGCAGAUGGCAGCGGCAGAGGCUCACUGCAGACUACAGUUAUCAGAGUGCGAGCCCCAGACUGAGACUCAGACGCCGCUGCUGGCGCUGCACUGCCGUCGCCAGGCAUCGUCUGGAAUUUGUAUUUCACGUAUGCACACACGCGCAAACACACACAUUUGCACCAAGAGAAGCAGCGGCAUCCACGGCUAACCGGAUGUUGCACACACUCGGUACCCCGACACAGUCACGAGCAGCCAUCUUUGUCAUCUUUCGAAUCUCAGCCUUGGCUAAGGUCGCGCCUGUCCUCCCAGCGAGCAGCAAUAGCAGCAGUAGCAACAGAGUGAGGCAGAGACGGAGUAACCAAGAAAGAGAGAGAGAGAGACAUGGCAGAGAGUUACCGUGAAGUCAUAAAUUUAUAACAAAUGCUAGACUCCACUCCACUACCCUCCGCACCAAGUGGACCGACUGACUGGUUUGGCGUGUUGGCCUGGACAAAAUGGAUUUUUUACGGCCCCGAGAAAACAACAAACAACAGAAGAGAACAGAAAGCGUUAAAAAGCCGCAACUGGAGUUCACAAAAGCAGCCAAAGCUAAAAUAGUGAAUGAUUUGUGGUGCUCGUUGCGGAAACAAACGAAAAACAAACUGAACCGCUCUGAAAGAUAAUCUGGUAAGCCAUAUCCAAAAUAGCUGUAAUAACAUCAUAAAGCGAUUGAGACGAUAAUUGGGAGUGUAAACAUGCAUCUCAAACGGACCAAACGUUAUAUUGAAAUAUUGUUCAAAAUUGGCCAAGAGAAAUAACCAAAGUCCGAUUUGCUCUACAUAAUUAAGUUUUAUAUCCGUAGGAUUAAAUAAAAGCUAGGAAUCGUAUUCAUUCCUGCAACCGAGUUUGACAACUCAUUCAACUGUAAUUAUCACAAUCUGCAACAUCUAUCAUUGGAAGUGCACAAAGAAAACUUUCAAAUUGCCCAGCACCGCCUUCUCAGAUAUCAUUCAAUCUUGAGAGUUACACUUUACCCCAAAUUCCCUCCACUAUGCCAUUCCAUGGCCAUUCCAUUGCAUGUUCCGCUAGUUCCAGUUAUAGUAAUAGUUAGGGGUUAUGUGUCCGCCCCCCAGGAGCGUGCUAAUGAAACAUUUAAUUAAAGCAUCAAACAUCAAAAGCGACAAAGAGGGAACAUAAUGAAACGGCAUUUUUUGUCUGCCUCGGUCGCUCCGUGUGGGGGAGGCAGCACGUGUGGGUGUGGGUACGAAAAGGUGUAUGAACACCUGAGCAGAACUGCCAGAGUUAACGCAACUAAAAGGGGCCCGAUCAGCGAGUUGGCUUCCAAAUUACAAAGGGAAAAUGAAAAUCGUUUCUACUUCAUUCCGGCCACACGACCCCUCCUGAUGGCCUCCUUACCCUGGCUAAUGCCGUCGACAAUUGCCGUAAAAGUUUAUCGCCCGCAUUAAAAAACCAUGGAUUAAAAUUCUACUUCAAAUAAGAGUCGAGCAUACACACUCGCACGAGAGGAAAAAAUAAUCCCAUCUCCAUUUCGCCAUUUUUCUACUCGUCCGCCCCUCCAGCUCUUCAGCUCUUCAGCUCUACGCCUCUCAUUCUUUCUUAUUUCGGUUACAGUUUUUCUUUUAUUUUUCUGGUGUUCUGUGCCCACAUUUUUCUUCUUUGCCGGCUCAUUUUGGCAUUUUUCGCUUCUUUUUUUUUACUGUAAUAAAGAUAAGAGCUCUAGUUGGAGGUGCCACCUGCAUUGCCUAUUUCCCGCUCCCCUCCCGCACCCUCUCCUGCUCUCCCUCUCUUGGCAAAGUGUUUGGCUAACAAAUGUUGUCCACUAAUUGCAGGCGAAAACAUUUUCUCGGCAACGAAUUAAGUGAUGUAAAUUUUUGGGCUCUAAAUGGUGCAACGAUUCUGCAAAGGAAGGAAGGAAGAGAAGAGACGGGGGUGGGUGGAGCUGGGUCCUAUUUUCGGUGGGAUAUUUUAGUGGGCGUGACACGAUGGGCAAAAAGUCAGACAGACAUGCAGACAAUUUCAUAUAAAAUGCAUGAGCAUGAAACCAAUUCAAUAGCCAAAAAACACUCGCAAAAACACACACACACACACACACACAGAAAGCAGGGAAGGGGGUGUGGCAUGUGGGGCGAAGCGAAAAAGGGUAAGAGGUGGAGGCAAUGGCGGAGCAUGUUAACUGUCUGUCGAGCAACCUGGCAUCGCACUGGAACUCAUAGUUGUCCUAGUUGUACCCGCUGAUGUUCCAGCACUUGUUCGAAUUGGCGGUGUAACGGAACGGAAGGCGGAGGGAGGCAGAAGAUGUGUGGCAUGUGGGCUGAUGGCUGAGGGGCAGUGGCAGAGAGAACACCAAAUUACUUUGAGCCACCGACAGAACUGAACUGAACUGAACAGUACCGAACGGAAGGGAAACGAAAUCGAUGCUUACUUAUAUAUACAAGAUACGUACCCCGACGAUGAAACGAAUUGGAAACAGACGAAAAUUUGCACACAAAAAAUUAAAAGAAAAAAAAAUACAGAUCGUAAGGCGGAGGCGGAGGAGGAACGGCAUGAAAAGAGAUAAAGAGAGAGCCAGAAUCAAAUGGCAGCGACAAAGUUUUCAAAUUAAUUUAUUGAUACUGCGAUAAGAGUUCGGAAAGGGAGAGGCAGCAGAAAAAGAGAGAAAAGUGUAGGAGAUAAACGUUUUAUGGCAGGGCCAUCAUCAACGAUGCGGACUGGACUGACUGAAGUGGCAUGGGGCAUGGGCAGGGGCAGGGGCAGGGGCAGGAUGUAGUAGCAGAGAAAGGACCCGGCUAGGUUUAAUCAAAUGUAUUGAAAAUGUUUCGAUUUUGCAAAGUUUUAGAGUCAGAAUAGGACAUCAAAUGAUUCCUGACAGCGGCAGCUGGUAAUAGCGGCAGAGGGUGUGGUGGGAACAGUGUACGCAGUGUUUUCUCCACUUUUUGGGUCUCCUCUCAUUAAAAGCGAUUCAAAAAAAAGAUAAAGCAAGUGACGUAGAAGGAGAAACAACAGAAGAAUCAACAAGCGCCCCACCUUCAACAUCUCGUCAUCAUCGUCAUCAUUCGAUUUCAGGGGACAGAAAUACAAUACAUAAAGAUGAGACGUUUAUUUAUAAGAAGACAUGAGAUCUGAGACCCUGACCGGUGGAUUCGUAGCCAAACAAGAACGGAAUAUGCACAUAAAAAGCAUCUUCAUCAGCAUCCGCUUUCCGCUCUGUAGGGAUAUUUGCUCAAUAACCGAUAAGAUACCCGUGCUAUAGCUUCAGCUAUAUAGAUUCUGAUUCUCAUUCUCAUUCACAUUGUGCUGACUUUGACUGUGCACAUCUCGCGACUUUGCGUCUGUAUUUUAUUCGUUUCGUAGUUUUGCUGAUACGAGACUUUAAGCGCAAAAAAUGCAAAUUUCAUUUCGCUCUUUGGCCGCGCCGGGGCUCCCCUCUGGCACUCCCCCACUCGUCCCCUCGCCGCUGUUGUGCAUUUGAAAUUGUUUUGUUUUCCUGCUGUUUUAUUUGUAAAUAUUUUUCUUUCUAUUUGUUUUAAAACGCCGC